AAGUCGAACGGCAGCACGGGGGCAACCCUGGUGGCGAGUGGCGAACGGGUGAGUAAUACAUCGGAACGUGUCCUGUAGUGGGGGAUAGCCCGGCGAAAGCCGGAUUAAUACCGCAUACGCUCUACGGAGGAAAGGGGGGGAUCUUAGGACCUCCCGCUACAGGGGCGGCCGAUGGCAGAUUAGCUAGUUGGUGGGGUAAAGGCCUACCAAGGCGACGAUCUGUAGCUGGUCUGAGAGGACGACCAGCCACACUGGGACUGAGACACGGCCCAGACUCCUACGGGAGGCAGCAGUGGGGAAUUUUGGACAAUGGGGGCAACCCUGAUCCAGCAAUGCCGCGUGUGUGAAGAAGGCCUUCGGGUUGUAAAGCACUUUUGUCCGGAAAGAAAACGCCGUGGUUAAUACCCGUGGCGGAUGACGGUACCGGAAGAAUAAGCACCGGCUAACUACGUGCCAGCAGCCGCGGUAAUACGUAGGGUGCAAGCGUUAAUCGGAAUUACUGGGCGUAAAGCGUGCGCAGGCGGUCCGCUAAGACAGAUGUGAAAUCCCCGGGCUUAACCUGGGAACUGCAUUUGUGACUGGCGGGCUAGAGUAUGGCAGAGGGGGGUAGAAUUCCACGUGUAGCAGUGAAAUGCGUAGAGAUGUGGAGGAAUACCGAUGGCGAAGGCAGCCCCCUGGGCCAAUACUGACGCUCAUGCACGAAAGCGUGGGGAGCAAACAGGAUUAGAUA
rnacentral:rRNA from 1 species